rnacentral:rRNA from 1 species
UACGUAGGGUGCGAGCGUUACUCGGAAUUACUGGGCGUAAAGUGUGCGCAGGCGGCAGAGCAAGUCGAGUGUGAAAGCCCCGGGCUUAACUUGGGAAUUGCGCUCGAAACUACUUUGCUGGAGUGUGGCAGAGGAAGGUGGAAUUCCACGUGUAGCGGUGAAAUGCGUAGAGAUGUGGAGGAACACCAAUGGCGAAGGCAGCCUUCUGGGCCAACACUGACGCUCAUGCACGGAAGCGUGGGGAGCAAACAGG